UACGGAGGGUGCGAGCGUUAAUCGGAAUCACUGGGCGUAAAGGGCACGCAGGCGGGCUUUUAAGUGAGAUGUGAAAUCCCCGGGCUUAACCUGGGAAUAGCAUUUCAUACUGGGUGUCUAGAGUACUUUAGGGAGGGGUAGAAUUCCACGUGUAGCGGUGAAAUGCGUAGAGAUGUCGAGGAAUACCGAAGGCGAAGGCAGCCGCUUAGGAAUGUACUGACGCUCAUGUGCGAAAGCGUGGGGAUCAAACAGG
rnacentral:rRNA from 1 species